UGGGAUGAGGUAGUAGUUUGUAUAGUUUUAGGAUCACACCAGAUCUGGGAGAUAACUAUACAGUCUACUGUCUUUC
ensembl:miRNA MIRLET7F2 microRNA let-7f-2